GGAUUAGAUACCCUGGUAGUCCUAGCUGUAAACGAUGGAUACUAGACGUAGGAACUGGAUUGACGGUUUCUGUGUCGUAGCUAACGUUUUAAGUUGUCCGCCUGGGGAGUACGGCCGCAAGGCUAAAACUCAAAUGAAUUGACGGGGACCCGCACAAGUAGUGGAGCAUGUGGUUUAAUUCGAAGAUACGCGCAGAACCUUACCAACACUUGACAUGUUCGUCGCGACUCUAAGAGAUUAGAGUUUUCGGUUCGGCCGGACGAAACACAGGUGCUGCAUGGCUGUCGUCAGCUCGUGCCG
rnacentral:rRNA from 1 species